rnacentral:rRNA from 1 species
AUUGAACGCUGGCGGCAGGCCUAACACAUGCAAGUCGAGCGGAGCGGCGGACGGGUGAGUAAUGCCUAGGAAUCUGCAUGGUAGUGGGGGAUAACGUCCAGAAACGGGCGCUAAUGCCGCAUACUAUCAGAUGAGCCUAGGUCGGAUUAGCUAGUUGGUGGGGUAAAGGCCUACCAAGGCGACGAUCUGUAACUGGUCUGAGAGGAUGAUCAGUCACACUGGAACUGAGACACGGCCCAGACUCCUACGUGAGGCAGCAGUGGGGAAUAUUGGACAAUGGGCGAAAGCCUGAUCCAGCCAUGCCGCGUGUGUGAAGAAGGCCUUAGGAUUGUAAAGUACUUUAAGCUGGGAGGCGUUACCAACAGAAUAAGCACCGGCUAACUUCGUGCCAGCAGCCGCGGUAAUUC